ACCCAUUACUUUAGCCCAAAUUAACCCAUUCAUUAUCCCCAGAAGCAAACUUCUCAAACCCCCAUUUUGGUUUAUUAACCUCAAAACCCAGAGUUAAAAAUCUUCAAACCCAAAAUUUCAAUUACAACAAUUUCUCCACUUCUCCUCCAGCAAACUUCUCCAUUACAGAAUAAAGCGGUGUGAAGACAAAAAAAUUUGGAUCAACAUUGAAUAAAUUGUGGCAGAGAAAGAAAAAGGAAAAAAAGAAAGGAGAAAGGAAUGGGGGACAAGAGGGGAGACACUACUAAUAGUUUGUGUAGACAAACUAAAGACAAAAGGAAAAGAGCAGCAAAGGAAACAAGUGAAAAACGCGCAAAUUUGGACGAGAAAAAUUUGUUCGCUGGAAAACUUCCUGGGUGCACCGCCUGGGGCGUCGCCGAGGGCGGGGCGCCAGGCUUAUUUUCGACUGCGUUUCCCGAUUCGAAUUGAAUUUGGUUUUUAAAAGUCCAGAUCUUUUGAUACUCUAUAAAUACAUAUUCUAUACGAUUUUUACAUAACUUGGGAUAGCUUAAAACCCUUAGUUCAUAACUUUGGACCUAGAGAGAGCUUGGAGCCGCCGUAGAGGCCGUAUUUACAGGGUUUUACCUUCUCUUCUCUGUAAUACUUAUUUUGAUAUUUUUAUUCGGAUGAUUUGUUGUUUUUCCUCCAUGUCUAUGUGGAGCUAAACACUUUAGUUCUAAGGCUUUGACACAAACAUGAAAGUUGACGUUUGAUUAUCGUUUCUAUCUAUUGAUUUUCCA